ensembl:lncRNA
GUGUCAGAUACACAUCUUUAGGAAAUAAGGAAAAAUUAAGUAACAGAUAUAAUUCAUUGAAUUUUCAAAAUGAAAAGAAAACAGCCAAGUAAUACACCUACUUGGAUCUGAAGGUGAGUCUGGUACAGGUAAAAAUUAGCAUUGAAGAUUUUCUUUUUGAUGUGAACUUUUUCCUGGUUAUCUCCUGUUGAAGACUAUGACAUACAUUAGGCUAGUCAUGGGCAAGGAAGACUACACUGAUUUGACUUGAACUUCACUGUCCUCCAGAUCUGGUCCAGGAAUGGGUAGGCUUGACCUCUCAAAGGAUUUCUAUUUCAUCCUUCCACAAGGCUUAUGCACAGAAUGUCUACUGGCCUUCCCCAGCAUGCCAUUUCUAUAUGCUAAGAAUGUAUACACCAGGCCUGUCUCGGUCCAGGCUCAAUAGGUCCAUGGGUUCUGCUCUUAUAUUGCAUACAAUUCAUUCUAAAACUUGGGGAGGAUCUAGGAGCACCCAGCCCCCUACACCACAUCAGUGCUUUCCGCCUGGCAAGCAGCUCUUCAGGAUGCAUCUCUAUUCUUUCUCUCCAUCCACUCUUCUCUCUCCUUACUGUUACCGCUGCCCCUGACCCCUGCCCCUGCUUGUCGUUAUUGUAAUUUUUAGGUAUCCUCUGCCCUCCCCUCCCUUGUUAGUUUAUCUUCUAGGAGAAAUAAAAACACUCAGUAAUUGUUACUGCUGGCUAUGCUACAAAGGUAAAAGCUGCCACCCCUUCUGAAGAUUGGGGGUGACAGAGGAGCAACCCUCUGUAAACCCCCAGGGGUUACUCGAAGAAGUCUGCUUGCUUUGAUCCCAUGCUCCAUGAGUGGAGUGAAGGCAUUUCUCUCUCUUUCACGGUCUAGAACUCAAUUACUCAAGCUGUCUGGAUCCCUGUUAACCUCUUACAUAAAAGCAGUCAAGUCUACCACUAACACUGUAAUAAUUCACUGACUGAUUCAUCCAAUACUAUUUAUUCUAUUGAUCCAGUACUCUCAAGGUGGUUCAGGUGAAGAAACCAAAGAUCUACCUAUUUGGAUCCCCUGAGAACCAUUGCAAUAACCUGUGAAUGAAAA